UACGGGGGGUGCGAGCGUUGUCCGGAAUCACUGGGCGUAAAGGGCGCGUAGGUGGCCUGAUAAGGGUGUGGUGAAAGUCCGGGGCUCAACCCCCGGAUCUGCCGUGCCGACUGUUAGGCUAGAGUACUGUAGGGGCAGGCGGAAUUCCGGGUGUAGCGGUGGAAUGCGUAGAGAUCCGGAGGAAGACCGGUGGCGAAGGCGGCCUGCUGGGCAGUUACUGACACUGAGGCGCGACAGCGUGGGGAGCAAACAGG
rnacentral:rRNA from 1 species